UACGUAGGGGGCUAGCGUUGCUCGGAAUCACUGGGCGUAAAGCGCACGUAGGCGGAUUUUUAAGUCAGUGGUGAAAUCCUGGAGCUCAACUCCAGAACUGCCUUUGAUACUGAGAGGCUUGAGUCCGGGAGAGGUGAGUGGAACUGCGAGUGUAGAGGUGAAAUUCGUAGAUAUUCGCAAGAACACCAGUGGCGAAGGCGGCUCACUGGCCCGGUACUGACGCUGAGGUGCGAAAGCGUGGGGAGCAAACAGG
rnacentral:rRNA from 1 species